CUGGUAUCGAACAAUAGAUUUUAUACUUUCUACCACCCAAUGCACAAGCAGAACCUCUCAGAGAAAGCGAGCCAAAGAUGCUUUCUGCACCCUGCAGCCCUUAACGCCCUCAAACAUUUGUGACACGUUUUUACCUGUUAUGUGGUUUUGCACUUGCGUGUCUCAGUCCAGCUUCCAUUUAAACUCCGCCAUGGUUUCGGGUAGCUCAGAAGCUAUAAUUAACGUGAGCAGAAUCAUGUCCGACUGCUUUUGUGUUGGACCGUGUUAGGUCAGAGUUGGGAAUCAAAGAUUCUGUGUCUUUAUCUUUUAAGCAAAUGAAGUGACUCCAAGUGAAUGGAUGCUCCCUUUUUAAAGAAAAAAUGUUGACAUUUGAUAUGCAUGCAAAAUGGAGUCACAGCAUUGAAGUAGCUUAUUUUAAAUAUCUUGUCUACCCAUCCCUUAUUUAGAAGUAAGUAUACAGAUUAUACUAAGUGUAACUCUGCAAUCCACAGUGAUGUCCUUUUUGUCACCCUUUUCCUUUUGUGUGUUUUGUUGGGCUGGCAACCCCUGGGGUAAUGCUUUUCCUCGUUAGUAAAUUUUGGGGUUUAUUUCUUCUGGUCUGCGUGCCUGUUGCCCUACUGACAAUGCACAGCAUCAUUCCACUCAGACCACAUCUGCAGCACAUACCCUUGAGUGCUGUCGUUGUAAUCAACAACAUAGGCACGGUGAAUUAUGUCUGACAGUUACUCACUAAACUCCUACUUUAAAAUCACUCCACUGGUUUUCUUUGCAUUUUGAAGUUCCUGUGUGCACAUGUUGCACCUCUGUAUCGCAACGCGAAAAGCAUUACUCAAAAAUGAGUCAUGCAGUGUUCUUUACAGUCAUUUGAGGAUGGUUCAAGAUUAUAUCACUGUAGUUGUUACAAAUCAUAUAAAAUCACACUUUGAUGUUAAGCUGGAGGCAAAGCUACUUAGAAUCAUAGACUUGCAACACAGAAACAGACACUUCAGCGCAUUAAGUCUGUACUGGUGCCUUUGCCUGCAUGAACCAUCUAACCUAAUCAUAAUCAGCUGGGGCAUCAACGUUAGUAGAAGUUUAAACAUAACCUCAGACCUAUUGGUUUUGCUCCCGUUCCUGAGGAAUCUAGAUCUUGUGGAUGGAGAAGGCAAUGGAGCACUGUCCAGGGUCUGCUGUGUGUGUUGUGUGUGUCUCUGGACCCUGAAGCUCCUCAAAGACCAGGUGACCUCUUCAAAAUGGCUUGUAUUUGCCUAAAAAUUGCAAAAGUGAGGUCACAGCUUUGAAAUGAGAGGAAAAGCUGGUGUAACGUUCAGAGUUUUUACACAGCAAAAGCCACAGCAUGUUGGAAUCAAAAUGGGAAAGAACGGACUGAUGUCGGUUUUGUUCUUCAUUUAUUGAGGGCAAGCUGAUUUGUCAUAAUUUCAAUACUGUACAUUUCUGAAAUCUGGAAGCAACCGUUGUUUAUUAAUCUGCAACAACCCCUCAUCAUGUUGAAGGAGUCUCCACAAACUCAGAUUCUUAACACUUGAUGCCCACUCAAGGUGAUGAAUCCUCUGUCCAAUUUCACCUUGGUUAGCAGCGAAAGAUGUCUUAAACAAUGGACAGAGAGGGGUAUGAAGAGGCUGAGGAAGCAAAAUCCAGAGCUGAAAGUCUAGACGGUAGAGGCACUGUCGCUAGCAUUAGAAAGAAUCCUGUGACUCCAGUGACACUCAAGUGACAGUGAAGGAAUGGAGAUAUAUUGCCAAGUCAGAAUGGUGAGUGGCUUGGAGGCGAA